CCUCCGACAUGGGGAUUGAGAAUGCUCCGGCUAUGAAAAGCAUGGGGUCUGUCUCAGGACACAGCUCCCACAGCCCUAAGUGGGCAAAUGCCCCAAAGUGUCAAGCAUGAGCCACCUCUGAAGGAGCAUUUACUAUCUCAAGACCUUUGGGCAUGUUGUCCCUUCUACCUGGAAUACCCUUCCUUCAAAAUUCAGAGCCAAAAGCAAAAAGCGUUCGCUGAUCGCAGAGGGGGAGAGGGAUGUGGGAGGGCUUGGGGCGCAGAAUUAGUUGCUACCUCCUCUGGGCGUUCACAGGCCAAAUUUCCUUGGUGUGGCACCUGGCAUUCUGUGAUUGUGCCUGUUUCCCUGUGGUCUGGUCCUGUGCCUAUUGGCCCAAUUACACUGGGAGUCAUACA
rnacentral:lncRNA from 1 species